AGAGAUUUCGCUGAAGAGCCUGGCUUUGCUAGGCAACCCUCCGCAGAAAAAAAAUGAUUAAGCCAUUUCUUGCAGCAGUUACUCUUCUAAUAGUUACCGGGAUGGUUCUUGCGGCUCCACAAGUUCCUACCGGAGCUGUAGCAUUGGAUGCGCUCCAGCGCAUGAAUCUCUUCGCUACUACACCGCUUAAAACAGGUGUGUGGAGGCAGGGCGAGCCGUUCUUCCCAUUCGCGCCUUUCAACCCUGCCGUUGGAUUCGUCCUGGGCG